CACGUGUCUAUGACACAACUGCAGCUCGCGCUCCCCCGGUUUUAACGACUUUGUUUACAGCUGAGCCCGUCAGUCUGGACCAAAUGUGCUCUAUAUCAUCCGACAUGAACGCUAGAAACUGACCUUAAAGGACAGGACAGACCUGCGCAUACUUAUGUCAGCAUCAUUAACGAGACUAAACCAUGGUACUGGUCUACGCCAGUGUCUGGUCUUCAGGACAGAGAACACGGGCUGUGAGGAUGGAUGGAAGGCUGCACUCACUCACUGCUGGAUGGUGCCUCUCGGUUGGCUGUAUGUCCUAACAUCAACGCCCUGGAUCAGCGUCGCGGCGUUCCCUCUCCUCUACCCGCGGCUGAAUCCGGUCAAACUUCCGUCUGUGUCACGCACUCUUCCAGCCUGCUUGUUUCGCUUCUAUCUGGGGAUUUUUUCCCCCCUGCUUCUUCUCACCGCAAACACAUAUAAAUAAAUAUACACAUCUCCCCAACAGGA